rnacentral:tRNA from 1 species
GGAGAGGUGGCUGAGCGGUUGAAAGCGGCGGUCUUGAAAACCGUUAACCUGCAAGGGUUCGUGAGUUCAAAUCUCACCCUCUCCGCCA